GAUGAAGAACGUAGCGAAAUGCGAUACUUGGUGUGAAUUGCAGAAUCCCGUGAACCAUCGAGUCUUUGAACGCAAGUUGCGCCCGAAGCCACUAGGCCGAGGGCACGCCUGCCUGGGCGUCACACGCCGUUGCCCCCCCAUCUACUCCUUCGGGAUUGCGGGGGGGCGGAUGAUGGCCUCCCGUGCGCCUAGCCGCGCGGUUGGCAUAAAUACCAAGUCCUCGGCGACGCACGCCACGACAAUCGGUGGUUGCGAAACCUCGGUUGCCCGUCGUGUGCGUUCGUCGCGCAUCGAGGGCUCGAAAAAAUUGCCGGGCUUCGGCUCGACUUUCAACGCGACCCCAGGUCAGGCGGGGUUACCCGCUGAAUUUAAGCAUAUCAAUAAGCGGAGGA
rnacentral:misc_RNA from 1 species